rnacentral:rRNA from 1 species
AGAGUUUGAUCCUGGCUCAGAACGAACGUUGGCGGCGUGGAUUAGGCAUGCAAGUCGAACGAAUCCCAGCUGGGUAACUGGCUGGGGGAAGUGGCGAAAGGGGCAGUAAGGCGUGGGUAACCUACCCCGGGGACUGGGAUAGCCUUCCUAACGGAUGGGUAAUACCGGGCGAUCUGGCGAAGGGGCAUCUCUUUGCCAGGAAACGAGUUUCGCCUCGGGAGGGGCUCAUGUGGUAUUAGCUUGUUGGUGAGGUAACGGCUCACCAAGGCCAAGAUGCCUAGCGGGUGUGAGAGCACGACCCGCGCCACUGGCACUGAGACACUGGCCAGACCCCUACGGGAGGCUGCAGUCGAGAAUCUUCGGCAAUGGGCGCAAGCCUGACCGAGCGACGCCGCGUGUGCGAUGAAGGCCUUCGGGUUGUAAAGCACUGUCGAGGGGGAGAAAAGCCCGCAAGGGUUUGAUCGACCCCUGGAGGAAGCACGGGCUAAGUUCGUGCCAGCAGCCGCGGUAAGACGAACCGUGCGAACGUUGUUCGGAUUCACUGGGCUUAAAGGGCGCGUAGGCGGGCGGUCAAGUCAGGGGUGAAAUCUUUCAGCUCAACUGGAAAAGUGCCUUUGAUACUGAUCGUCUUGAGGGAGGUAGGGGCAUGUGGAACUUCCGGUGGAGCGGUGAAAUGCGUAGAUAUCGGAAGGAACGCCGGUGGCGAAAGCGACGUGCUGGACCUCUUCUGACGCUGAGGCGCGAAAGCUAGGGGAGCAAACGGGAUUAGAUACCCUAGUAGUCC